UGGUUUUCUCAGUGGGUACGACAGAGCCACGAAGGCAAGUCGUAAUCACCGGAAACCAAAGGAGAUAGAUAAACAAAUAUAGAUGCUGAUAUGAAAAGUCUACAGUAGCUACAACAGAUAAAUAAGAAGCAAUAAAUAAACCUGCUACUGUAUAGAUAACAAUGCAAGGAAUGCCUCAAAGUAUUGAAUAGAAACUGUACCCAAUCUGUACCUGCUGUAUUGGUCCGCAGACCUCAAGCGCUGCCUGUCACUAACUGCACCGACCUGAUCCAUCCGCCCCGCAGGACGACCUAUCCGGAUAA
rnacentral:lncRNA from 1 species